CUAUGUUUAUGAAUGGGUUAAGCCUUCUCCCAAUUCCCCUAGCAGCUGUCUCAUUGACAGCCGCUAGAGGCGCUUGCGUGCUUCUCACUGUGAUUUUCACAGUGAGAGCACGCCAGCGUCCAUAGGAAAGCAUUGAUAAAGCACGUGUUCGAUCAAGCUGAAAUCUGGGCUAAAUUCAGGAUCAUUUGGAGCCUCCUUUGCAGAAUCCAGACGUUGUUAGAUAAUAUGAACAAUGUGUAGGUUUUAUAAUUCUUAGUGGUCAUGUAAAGCACUGGAUGGUUUUGCCCCAUUCGCCACAGUGCUAUUCAGACUUUCAUGAAUUAUCCCAAUAGUAGUAGUUCAGUUAAUAGGCAGAGAGAUGUAAAAGGAAGCAGUAUUGUGGAGUGCUCUGCAAGGGAAGAUCAGGAAUUUUAAUUUAAUUUUAGACUGGAUGAAGUGUAAGCGGAGGGCUGGGCAGCCUCAUUAAUUAUGAGGAAGAUUUGGGGAAGAAGAAGGUGAAGGAAAAGAAAAUAAUAAAUCCAUUUAAAAAGUUUUUAUAGUUCAGGCAUAAUGGUGACAAGAAGCAAUGGCACAUGGGCAUCUGAUAAUUUGACAUAUAAGGGUGGAUGAUAGGUCAAAAGAAGAGAAUGCAUAUUCAUAUUAUCUGCAUAUAAGUCAUAUUGGAAACCAAAUUAUAAGGUUGCAGGAAGUGUAAUAUUUGGAAAAUUGCUGCCACUAUAAGCAACAUAAUGAAGGAUCUAAAGCUAUGUCAGAGAUGUCAAAACAAUCAUAACUGUCUCUGAAACCAUCUUCACAGAAGGAGUGGCAGCUCAAUAUAGGAUCAAAGAACAGGCUGGACCAGUCAGGAGAGUAUGCCUUAUCUCAUGGAACUGCAGUGUAAAUACUGUAUAGGCGACACACUAUACAGGAUGCUAGACUUUUUCUUCAUUCUAUUGAUCUCUUCCACAGUCCUUAAGCUAUGAGAUCAGCAAUAAAAAUGUGCAUAGGGAAAAAAGUGAUGUUUCCCAUGUCUUACACGGAAGACAUAAAAUAUCCAUAACAUUACAGAUAUAUUAGAAAAAGGGACAAUUAUGCCAUUUUAUCAUUUACAAUAGAAAUUUGAACUCUUAAGUAAAGACAUUUACCCCUAUUUAAAAUUAAAAUUUAUUUGAAUAACAAAGAAUAUAUAUAACAUCAUUGGGUUGAUAAUCUGUUACACUCCUCGAUAUCUCAAAAAAAAAAAAAUACUAUCUUUCAUACAAUAUUCAAGAUACAUUUAUAGAAGGGAGUAAGCCUUUUCCAAUAAAUAAAUUGGAAUCAGUGCUGGGCAUUCAAUUCCCCAUAGAAGAUUGGCUUAAAGGAAAUAAACACGUAUCACAAACCAUACAUUGUAUCUCUAUGUUAGAAUUACAUUAUAAACUAAUUUAAUUUAUUAGUGGUACUUAUAACCCACAAAACUGAAAAAAUGCUCAAGAAACAAAUCGGAUAUCUGUUGGCGAUGCCUUUCAGAUAUGGGAAAUUUACAUCACAUUUGAUGGAACUGCCCAGUUCUAGAUAUAAUUGAAAUCUCAAAUUAAAAUUUGCUUACAUAAAAUGUUUAAUAUGGAUAAGCUUACCCCCUUCAUGUUUUUUGGGAAUAUGUUUUUUUGGAAUAUGUUUUUUUCAGUUUGUAAUAAAAAUCUAAAAUAUUUAACAACUCAUAUCUUAUUUGCUUCCAAAACGGUUAUUAUAGCCCGUAACUGGAAAUCUCCUGAAUUAAAAUGGAGUUCUACAAAUCAAAUUUCAUAUCAAUAUAGAAUGGAACGUAGUUUCUGUAAUGAGAAAGAUACAGUGGAAGAAUUUGAAAUCAUGUGGCUACCAUGGAAGAAAU